GCUUACGGCCAUACCAACCUGGCUAUGCCUGAUCUUGUCUGCUCUCGGAAGCUAAGCAGGUUUGGGCCCGGUUAGUACUUGGAUGGGAGACCGCCUGGGAAUACCAGGUGCUGUAAGCU
rnacentral:rRNA from 1 species